GAUGAACGCUAGCGGCAGGCUUAAUACAUGCAAGUCGAGGGGUAGCAAGAUUGUAGCAAUACAAUUGUUGACGACCGGCAAACGGGUGCGGAACACGUACACAACCUUCCUACAAGUGGGGAAUAGCCCAGAGAAAUUUGGAUUAACACCCCGUAACAUAAGGAUGUGGCAUCACAUUGUUAUUAUAGAUUUUUCGCUUAUUGAUGGGUGUGCGGCUGAUUAGAUAGUUGGCGGGGUAACGGCCCACCAAGUCUACGAUCAGUAGCUGAUGUGAGAGCAUGAUCAGCCACACGGGCACUGAGACACGGGCCCGACUCCUACGGGAGGCAGCAGUAAGGAAUAUUGGACAAUGGACGCAAGUCUGAUCCAGCCAUGCCGCGUGAAGGAUUAAGGUCCUCUGGAUUGUAAACUUCUUUUAUAAGGGACGAAAAAGGCUUUUCUAAGUCGUCUGACGGUACCUUAUGAAUAAGCACCGGCUAACUCCGUGCCAGCCGCCGCCGUAAAAC
rnacentral:rRNA from 1 species